CAGCCGCCGCGGGAAUACCGAGGGUGCGAGCGUUAAUCGGAUUUACUGGGCGUAAAGCGUGCGUAGGCGGCUUCUUAAGUCGGAUGUGAAAUCCCUGAGCUUAACUUAGGAAUUGCAUUCGAUACUGGGAAGCUAGAGUAUGGGAGAGGAUGGUAGAAUUCCAGGUGUAUCGGUGAAAUGCGUAGAGAUCUGGAGGAAUACCGAUGGCGAAGGCAGCCAUCUGGCCUAAUACUGACGCUUAGGUACGAAAGCAUGGGGAGCAAACAGGAUUAGAGACCCCUGUAGUCCCUGUCUCUUAUAC
rnacentral:rRNA from 1 species